AUUGCACAAUGGGCGAAGCCUGAUGCAGCUAUACCGCGUGUAUGAAGAAGGCCUUAGGGUUGUAAAGUACUUUCGUUGGGGAGGAAAAAUAAAUAGAUAAUACCUGUUUAUCGUGACGUUACCCAAAAAAGAAGCACCGGCUAACUCCGUGCCAGCAGCCGCGGUAAUACGGAGGGUGCAAGCGUUAAUCAGAAUUACUGGGCGUAAAGAGCUCGUAGGCGGUUUUUUAAGUCAGAUGUGAAAUCCCUGGGCUUAACCUAGGAACUGCAUUUGAAACUAAAAGACUAGAGUAUCGUAGAGGGAGGUAGAAUUCUAGGUGUAGCGGUGAAAUGCGUAGAUAUCUGGAGGAAUACCUGUGGCGAAAGCGGCCUCCUAAACGAAUACUGACGCUGAGGUGCGAAAGCAUGGGGAGCAAACAGGAUUAGAUACCCUGGUAGUCCAUGCCGUAAACGAUGUCGACUUGGAGGUUGUUUCCUUGAGAAGUGACUUCCGAAGCUAACGCGUUAAGUCGACCGCCUGGGGAGUACGGUCGCAAGGCUAAAACUCAAAUGAAUUGACGGGGGCCCGCACAAGCGGUGGAGCAUGUGGUUUAAUUCGAUGCAACGCGAAAAACCUUACCUGGUCUUGACAUCCACAGAAUUUUUCAGAGAUGAGAAAGUGCCUUAGGGAACUGUGAGACAGGUGCUGCAUGGCUGUCGUCAGCUCGUGUUGUGAAAUGUUGGGUUAAGUCCCGCAACGAGCGCAACCCUUAUCCUCUGUUGCCAUUGGUUCGGCCAGGAACUCAGAGGAGACUGCCGGUUAUAAACCGGAGGAAGGCGGGGACGACGUCAAGUCAUCAUGGCCCUUACGACCAGGGCUACACACGUGCUACAAUGGUGUAUACAAAGAGAAGCAACUCUGCAAAGACAAGCAAACCUCAUAAAGUACAUCGU
rnacentral:rRNA from 2 species